AGAGAGACCGGGUCUUAAAUACCCAUGCUAGGAACUAAUGUGCGUCAAUGCACAUGAGCAGCGGGACUACAAUCGGGGUAGGACUGUUUCUCCGGAAAUGUGUCCCACAGGCGAAUGUAUAUUCUGUUUACUUGUGUUUCAGUAACUACAACAUUUUCAAAUACUGGUGUUUACAAAAACAUUAAGAUAAAUACCGGUGUUUACAACAACAUUUUGAUGUAGAGUGUCGAUUUUGAUUAAAAUGUCUCGCUUUAAAGAGCACAUAGAUAAAGUGAUUCGGGGUUAUGAGCGGUACACAGAGUAUGUAAGAAAAAACCCAACUGCAACAGCACAGGUAGAGAGCACAGUCCGGACCAUCUCCUACCUAAUCGCAGGAAGAUUUGCAGAUUCCCAUGAACUAUCUGAACUUGUCUACUCUGCUUCUAAUCUCCUGGUGCUAUUCAAUGACAGCAUUCUGCGCAAAGGGCUGAAGUGUGCCCUGACUGUGUCCAUCUCACAGCAGAGAAUCCUCACCUGGCUCUCAGUGUUGGAAUAUGUGGAGGUGUUCCUGGAGAUGGGCACCCAAAAGGUGUGCGGUGAAGUUGGCUGCUGGCUGGUCAUCGGACUCAUUCAAAUUCUGAAGGCUGUUUUGCGGCUUGUGCUUCUUUUGUGGUACAAAUCAGGAAUCCAGACUUCACCCCCCAUCCUUCCACUUGACAGAGGUGCAGAAAUAGGUGGCGAAGAUGAUGGUAAUGUGGAGCAGCAACAAGAAACCUGCUUUGUGGGCCAGAGGUCAGGACGUGUCAUCAGAUCACUAGGCCGUGCUCCCUUUGUGCAGCCUCUGCAGUGGGGAGCAGCCAGUAAGAAGAGUAGUCGAAACUUGAAGGAAGAGAAGGUCCACACAAAACCGACACCCUUGAGGCUACAGGAGACCAUCGCUGAGACUGUGUACAUCAGUCGACCUCUUGUACAUUCCCCACAGCAUGAUGCUGCUACCACCAUGCUUCGCACUAGCGAUGGUGAUGACCAGUGCCUCUUCUUCUCCAGAUAUGACGCUUGCCAUUCAGGCCAAAAAAUCCUAUUUCGGUUUCAUCAGACCAGAGAAUUUUAUUUCUGCAGGUCUGUGAAUCCUGAAGGUACCUUUUGGCAAACUCCAAGCGGGUUGCCAUGUGCCUUUCAGUGAGAAGUGGCUUCCAUACGGCCACUCUACCACAAAGGCCUGAUUGGUGGAGUGCGUUAUCAAUGGUUGACCUUGUGGAUGGUUCUCCUAUCUCCGCAAGGGAACACUGGCGCUCCGCCUUAGUGACCAUAGGGUUCUUGUUCACCUCUCUGACCAAGGCCCUUCCUCCCCGGUUACUCAGCUUGGUCAGACGGCCAGAUCUGGGAAGGGUCCCGGUAGUUACAAACUUCUUCCAUUUCCAAGUAAUCGAGACCACAGUGCUUUUCGGGACCUUCAAUGCUGCUGAAAUUCUUUUGUAUCCUUCCCUAGAUUUGUGUCUCGACACAAUCCGGUCUCAGAUGUCUGCAGACAAUUGCUUAGACUUCAUUCCUUGGUUUCUGCUCUGAUAUUCACUGCCAACUAUGGCACCUUAUAUAGGUGUGUGCCAUUCCAAAUAAUGUUCAAUCAACUGAAUUUACCACAGGUGGACUCCAUUCAAGUUGUAGAAGCAUCUCAAGGAUGAUCAGUGGAAAUCAGAUGCACCUGAGCUUAAGUUUGAGUGUCUUAACAAAGGGUGUGAAUACUUGUUUCAAUGUUUACAUUUUAUAUAAAUUUACACAAAUGUUUGAAAAUCUGUUUUUACUUUGUCAUUAUGGGAUAUUUUAUGUAGAUGUUUUAAAAAAAUAAAAAAAGUAUACUCAAAUCAGCUUUAGACUAAGUCUAAUAUAGCAAAAUGUGGAAAACGUGAAGGGUGUGAAUACUUUCUGGUGGCACUGUAAAGUUAUAAUCAUAUCAUCAUAUUAGAAUAGAAUAGAAUGGAUACGAAUAAUUCUUUAUUGUUGACCAAGGUGGAAAAUUGUAUUUGGCUCAAAGAGUGCUACAAUACAGAUAUUGACAGAAAUACAACUUAAAAUAAACACAUUAACAACUGAAGUAAGAUAUCAUGACGAGGAAUAAAACUAAAGGUAAAAUGAGUAAAACAUCGGACUGGAGCAGUUAAGGGCAUAAGUGUGGUUGAGUCACUUUUGUUGAGUACAGAAUCGUGGCGGCAUUUGGAAUAAAAUGUUUUUUUUAAAGUGCCUGAGGCCAGUGGAGCUCUGUAGCAUCUUUCAGACUCAAGAGGCUCAAACUUACAGGACAGAGGAUGAGAGCUGUCUGCCAGUAUUCUCUGCGUAUUAUUACAUAUACUGAACAUGAUUGCCCCAUGCAAUUUGUGUAUAUUUUUAACAAUAAAUUGAAUUUGAAAGCUAAAAUUGUGGAAAAUAUUUAGUGGCGAGCAAAUAUUUCAGUUUGGUUGUCCUGUAAGUGAGGUUUCCUGCAUUAAUUGUGUUGACCUCUAGGUGGCAAAGAACUGCAAGCUGACUUGUAUUAAAUUAAAAGGUUUGUCUGAGAGCAGUUAAAUGUAGAAUGGAUGAAUGAUGUCAGUGUCUUCGGAUCUUGACAGUUGCUGUAAAAUCCUGAAUAAAUGUGUUGUUGAUAAGUUUGGGUUAACGUUGAUGCACUUAACUUAAGAACAUUACAAACAAGCCAUGGUCACAUAAGACAAAAUCCUUUACACUACAAGUUAUCAUUUAGAAAACAUUUGAUUGCUCUGUUGAAGCCCUUUUUAGACAGUUGUCCUUAAAGCAUCUUUUCUGACUGCAGUAUUCAGCCUCGGACUGUGCGGAAAACUGUCCUGGAAGCCAUGGCUUGUCUCCGCAGGUCUAGAACUUUCCAGCUUUGCAUUGCUCCAUGAGAGAAUAUU